rnacentral:lncRNA from 1 species
GAUGAGAGUAAAUUCAGACUGUUGAAAAUGUCUUUACUUACCUACUUGUAUGGGUUCUGCUUUUUGCAGCCUAUUAUUGUUAACAGUUUUCUCACGCCGAGACGUAUCGUUGCAACGUUGACUGUUAGCAAUGGGGAGAGAUAUGGAACAUGGGGUUCACCUCGGUACUGUGCUGAUGGAACUUAUGCAGCAGGUUAUAACAUGAAGAUUGAACCUUAUCAGCAUCACGGAGAUGACACAGAAUUAAAUUGAGUGCAGCUGCUUUGUCAAGGUCUGGAUGGAGUCCGUUUUGGGGGAGUUAUUGAAUCCUCUUCCGGACCAUGGGGGAACUGGGUCGGUGAAACAGCAUGUAGCAGUAGAAAUGGGUCUCCAUUCUUUCUUACUUCAUUUUCACUCCAAGUUGAGCCAUGGGAAAGUGACAAUGACGACACAUCAGCCAACUACAUAAAGUUUCAAUGCCGUGACUUCGCCGGUUCACAAUCAAGUUAUGAACUUGCAAGAUCUCCAGGACGUGGAGACUUUGGCAACUAUGGGGGAUGGAGUGCAAGUUGCCCUUCCAACUCUGCCGUAUGUGGUAUUGCUACAAAAGUAGAAUCACAACAAGGUCACGGUGAUGACACAACUCUUAACGAUGUGAAGUUGUAUUGCUGUGAAGAAAAUGAAUAUGUUGCAGUAGGAAAAUAAAUU